rnacentral:rRNA from 1 species
CAGUCGCCGCGGUAAUACAGAGGGUGCAAGCGUUAAUCGGAUUUACUGGGCGUAAAGGGCGCGUAGGAGGUUAUGUAAGUGAGAUGUGAAAUCCCCGGGCUCAACCUGGGAACUGCAUCUUAUACUGCGUAGCUGGAGUGCAGUAGAGGGUAGUGGAAUUUCCGGUGUAGCGGUGAAAUGCGUAGAUAUCGGAAGGAACACCAGUGGCGAAGGCGGCUACCUGGACUGACACUGACACUGAGGCGCGAAAGCGUGGGGAGCAAACAGGAUUAGAUACCCCCGUAGUCCCUGUCUCUUAUAA